rnacentral:rRNA from 1 species
GACGAACGCUGGCGGCGUGCCUAAUACAUGCAAGUCGAGCGAAGUUUUUCUGGUGCUUGCACUAGAAAAACUUAGCGGCGAACGGGUGAGUCACACGUAAAGAACCUGCCUCAUAGACUGGGACAACUAUUGGAAACGAUAGCUAAUACCGGAUAACAGUAUUUCUCGCAUGAGAGAUAUUUAAAAGUUGGUUAUGCUAACACUAUGAGAUGGCUUUGCGGUGCAUUAGCUAGUUGGUGGGGUAAAGGCCCACCAAGGCGACGAUGCAUAGCCGACCUGAGAGGGUGAUCGGCCACACUGGGACUGAGACACGGCCCAGACUCCUACGGGAGGCAGCAGUAGGGAAUCUUCCGCAAUGGGCGAAAGCCUGACGGAGCAACGCCGCGAGAGUGAAGAAGGAUUUCGGUUCGUAAAGCUCUGUUGUUAGGGAAGAAUGGAUAUGUAGUAACUAUACAUGUAAGAGACGGUACCUAACCAGAAAGCCACGGCUAACUACGUG